GCCAGAUUAGAAUAUAUGAAGUGCAGGUUUAUUAGGAAGCUGCUCUCAGGUGAGUUCACUGGCUCCAAAGAAGGAGGCCAUCGAAAUAGCCAUGGGAAGAGAGAGAGAGAGAGCAGAGGGGGGAGAGAACGAGAGAAAGAACACUCCAGCAGAGACAAGAGAGACAGAAGAAGAAGAGGAGGAGGAGGAAAAGGAAGAGGAAGAAGAAGAAAGGAGACCAAAUGUCUAGAGAAAAGCCUCUGGGGGCAGAGUAUGCCAGACUUGGCUUUCAUGGAAAUUUGGAAAGACAAAGGAAACAAUUUUUUUCUCCUUUCUCAACCUGCCAAUGUGAAGAGAAGUUGGCGCUAAUGAUGCUUCAAGAGAGGUACAUCUGAAGGGAACCUCCUUUAAUUCACAUGGGUCAAGAUGAGAGGAUGUUUGAAAAAGACAAACCAGAACCCAGCUGUCCCUCAACGGAAAAAUGGAUGCAAAAGAUGUGGUAUAUAUGCACAAUGGAGUACUAUUCAGUCAUUAGAAACAAUGAAUUCAUGAAAUUCUUAGACAAAUGGAUGGAGCUAGAGAACAUCAUACUAACUGAGGCCUUUGAAUAUUAUUGAGCCCAAACUGCAUGAAGAGCCAGGCCUACUGCAGAACUGCACGAAGGCCCACCGCAGACACCAAGCUGUGUGUUGGCGCCUACAGCUUGGCCCAGCUAGUCAAUGAACUGGAUCCUGGGGCUUGUACUGGCAUGGUGUCUGAGCCUACAGGAAGGCUGGGGGCAGCCUCACUCUUAAACCUCUCACAGGUCAAGAGGAAUGAAGAAAGAAGUACAGCCACUUCCAGGAGCUUUCUUAACAGUCUUGUAACUCAGCCAUGGUCUCCAGAAGCCAGAGCGAAGAGCACUGUCUCCAUCAAAAUACAGAGUCCACGAGACAGAACGCAGGGAGAUGGGUAUGGCUGGCAUAAUUGGAACUUUAUGGACAUCAAAAAAAAAAACAAGUCUCUUAUUCAUCAUGUUAUUAAUUGACAACCUACUAUGUGUCAGAUAGAGAAUAGCAAAUAGGCUAGAGGUGAGGAGAGAGUCCAUGCAGUGGUGUGUGUGUGUGUGUGUGUGUGUCUCACAGGUUAGUAACUACAGAAGAAGAAUUAUACAAGAUAUAAUUUCAGUGGAAUUUGUCAAUUAGUUCUGUGUUGUCCAGGCAUAAAUAUGCUUUCUUUUCUCAUUAACUGCUGAUGAUACCUAUUAAUUGUGUGCACAGUGUUGGAACAUUACGAAGAAAGCUGUGGUGAUAGAUAAGAGCUGAAUGCUCUAGUUAGCUCAUGGGAAACCUUGGAGAAUGCAAAUAUAUUUAUUUUCCAUGGUAGAAAGAAACCUGCCAUAGUUUGUGGUACUGUAAUAUUACAUGGAGCCCGGAGAAUUUUGAAAAUGUCUAUCCAAUGUCUGGUCAUUGUGAACAAACAUUGAUUACAUGUAACAAACAAAAGCCCGGGGCGCGUGUUAGAUUUCUACUGCUGUGAUAGAACAUCAUUCACAAAAGCAACUAGGAGGGGAAAGGGUUCACUUCACUUUAUACUCCUAUCGCUCAGGAAGUCAGGUGAAGAACUCAAGCAGGAACCUAGAGACAGGAACCGAUACAGAGGCCAUGAAGGAGCAUUGCUUAGCCUGCUAGAUCAGCCUGCUUUCACAUAUACCCCUGGUCUACCUGUCCAGGGAUAGCAUCA